rnacentral:rRNA from 1 species
GUACUGAUAGCUCAACUAUUAGGCUUCGGGGGAGUACUGCCAGACUGGAACCGGGAGAGGUAAGAGGUACUACAGGGGUAGGAGUGAAAUCUUGUAAUCCCUGUGGGACCACCUGUGGCGAAGGCGUCUUACCAGAACGGGUUCGACGGUGAGGGACGAAAGCUGGGGGCACGAACCGGAUUAGAUACCCGGGUAGUCCCAGCCGUAAACGAUGCUCGCUAGGUGUCAGGCAUGGCGCGACCGUGUCUGGUGCCGCAGGGAAGCCGUGAAGCGAGCCACCUGGGAAGUACGGCCGCAAGGCUGAAACUUAAAGGAAUUGGCGGGGGAGCACAACAACGGGUGGAAGCCUGCGGUUUAAUUGGACUCAACGCCGGACAACUCACCGGGGGCGACAGCAAUAUGUAGGCCAAGCUGAAGACUUUGCCUGAAUCGCUGAGAGGAGGUGCAUGG